rnacentral:rRNA from 1 species
UUAAAUUGAAGAGUUUGAUCAUGGCUCAGAUUGAACGCUGGCGGCAGGCCUAACACAUGCAAGUCGAACGGUAACAGGAAGMAGCUUGCUKCUUYGCUGACGAGUGGCGGACGGGUGAGUAAUGUCUGGGAAACUGCCUGAUGGAGGGGGAUAACUACUGGAAACGGUAGCUAAUACCGCAUAAYGUCGCAAGACCAAAGAGGGGGGACCUUCGGGCCUCUUGCCAUCGGAUGUGCCCAGAUGGGAUUAGCUWGUWGGUGGGG